GGCCCAGUGGACUACUAGUUAUGUCACCAGGCUUUCAACCUGGAGAACCGGGAGCGUAACCCGGCUGGGUCA
rnacentral:tRNA from 1 species